GAUGAACGCUGGCGGCGUGCCUAAUACAUGCAAGUCGAGCGAACGGACGAGAAGCUUGCUUCUCUGAUGUUAGCGGCGGACGGGUGAGUAACACGUGGAUAACCUACCUAUAAGACUGGGAUAACUUCGGGAAACCGGAGCUAAUACCGUAUAAUAUUUUGAACCGCAUGGUUCAAUAGUGAAAGACGGUCUUGCUGUCACUUAUCGAUGGAUCCGCGCUGCAUUAGCUAGUUGGUAAGGUAACGGCUUACCAAGGCAACGAUGCAUAGCCGACCUGAGAGGGUGAUCGGCCACACUGGAACUGAGACACGGUCCAGACGCCUACGGGAGGCAGCAGUAGGGAAUCUUCCGCAAUGGGCGAAAGCCUGACGGAGCAACGCCGCGUGAGUGAUGAAGGUCUUCGGAUCGUAAAACUCUGUUAUUAGGGAAGAACAUAUGUGUAAGUAACUGUGCACAUCUUGACGGUACCUAAUCAGAAAGCCACGGCUAACUACGUG
rnacentral:rRNA from 1 species